rnacentral:rRNA from 1 species
GAUGAACGCUAGCGACAGGCUUAACACAUGCAAGUCGAGGGGCAUCGGGACGUAGCAAUACGUUGCCGGCGACCGGCGGAUGGGUGAGUAACGCGUAUGCAACCUGCCCACGACAGGGGGAUAGCCCGUUGAAAGACGGAUUAAUACCCCAUAAAACAGGGGUUCCGCAUGGGACUAUUUGUUAAAGGGUUUUCCGCGAGGGGGAUCCGGUUGUGGAUGGGCAUGCGUUCCAUUAGGCAGUUGGUGGGGUAACGGCUCACCAAACCGACGAUGGAUAGGGGAACCGGGAGGUUGGUCCCCCACACUGGUACUGAGAUACGGACCAGACUCCUACGGGAGGCAGCAGUGAGGAAUUUUGGUCAAUGGACGAAGUCUGAACCAGCCAAGUCGCGUGAAGGAAGGCGGCCCUAAGGGUUGUAAACUUCUUUUGUAAGGGAAUAAAGGCCGGUAACGCGUUACCGGUUUGCCAGGUACCUUACGAAUUAAGGAUCGGCUAACGUCCGUGCCCAGCCAGCCGCGGUAAUCACGAGACGUA